rnacentral:rRNA from 1 species
ACUCCGACGCGGCGGCACCAUCGCGCUAGGGUUAGCGCCGGCGACGGCCACCGCCACUCCGCCGCGCGCCCCUAUCCGGGCCGUCUGCUCCUCCCCCGGACGCCCCUCCCCCUUUCACGCGCGCAUCUAGGGUUAGCGCCGCCACUCCUACCCCGGCGGCUCCUCUCCUUUCCCGGGUCCCGGACUGCUCCUCUCCUCCUCUGACCGCUCCUCCAUUGUUGCAGGUGGAGGGCGAGAUGACCAGCCGCAGCUGCCACCUCUCGCCGGCAGCGGGUCCGCUGGAGGACGACAACCUGCUCUGCGAGAUCCUCCUCCGCCUCCCCCCGGAGCCGUCCUCCCUCCCGCGCGCCUCCCUCGUCUGCAAGCGCUGGCGCUGCCUCGUCUCCGACCCCCGCUUCUGCCGCCGCUUCCGCCGCCACCACCGCCGAAACCCUCCCCUCCUUGGCUUCUUCAACAGAGACAGCGACCUCUUCCCCUUCGUACCUACUCUUGAGCCCCCAAAUCGUGUCUCGCCUGGCCGCUUCUCCUUGCAGCGCCGCGAAGGCGACCGCUUCAUCUCCCUUGGAUGCCGCCAUGGCCUCGUGCUCAUCCACAACGUACGGCCGAACAAGGUCCUGGUGUGGGACCCCGUCACCGGCAAACAGCACCACCUUGCCAUCCCCCCUGAGCUUGUGAUACAUGCGGAGAACACAGCCAUCAAUGGGGCAGUGCUUCAUGCUGCCGGAGACAUCCAACAGUUUCAUGUGGUCUUGACAGUGGUGGACAACGUCGACAAGCAACACAAACGAGCGCUCGCCUGGCUUUACUCUUCCGAGACCAACUUAUGGGGUGAUCUUGUCUCAACACCGGUUCCAUUCAAGGUUUCCACCUCGGAUAUUUUGGGUGAUGAAGAUGAUGUCACCUUGGUGUUUACGGGAAAACCCGCUGUGAUGGUUAGGGAUUCUAUUUACUGGAUUCUUGCUGGGAAUUUUGUUGGAAUUCUUGAGUUUGAUUUGGAGAAGCAAAGCCUAGCUGUGAUACGGGUGCCAGCGCAUAUGCUUGAAAAUGGGUUUUACCAGUUCUGGAUUAUGCGGGCAGAGGGUGGUGGUCUUGGUUUACUGUUGCAGAAAGAUCAGAGCUUCCAGUUAUGGAAGAGGAAGUCUGAUUGUGAUGGUGUUGCUUCAUGGGUUCUUGGAAGAACUAUUGAACUGGACAAGCUACUUUCCCUGAAUGGAAAUGGCAGCCAAGUCAUACUAGGGUUCGCUGAGGAGAAUAAUGUGGUGUUUGUGUGGACACACGGUGUCCUCUUUAUGGUCAAUCUUGAGUCUUUGCAGUUCAAGAAACUUGGUGAAACCAGAACCCUUUCUCACUAUCAUCCAUUCGAAAGUGUCUACACUGCAGAAACAGACAUUGGUGGUGGACAUGAUGGAGUUGAUCUUUCACAGCACAUAAGAUGAUUAUCUAGUUAGGUAUGCUACUGUGAUGUACUUGUUGAGCAGGUAAGCUUCUGAACCUAUGUUGAGGUAUCUGAACUGUUCUUUAAAAAAAUGUAUUGCUUUCCUAUUUACUGCCAUUUCUCAACUACCAAAUGGCAAGAGAGGACUCUUUAAGAUUUUCUAUACAACUCUUUGCUUAGCUAUUACCCACCUGUCCACUCAUAUCAACGCUUUCCUGGCAGGCUGCAUCUUGGAUCUUUUCUCCAGGCCCUGCUCCUCACCCUCUUCAUGCCUUCAUCAGCUGCUCUCCAUUUGCUUCCUCAUGCCAUUGCCCACCUACCUUCUCUAUUAUUUGUUGCUACCACCUCACUAUUGGAUGAGGAACCUUUCCUGUCCAUCCAGCUGCCUUGCUUUCAUUUACCUCCUCUUUGGUACUCCCUUGGUUCCUACUGUUAGUGCAAUUUCUUCGCCUCUAGCUCCUUAGAUGUUCUGAUGACUGAGGACCAUUCUCCUUUUUGUGCAUAUUUUAAGUGGCAACAUAAUGAAAUGCAUCCUCUUUUGUGUCCGUCAUUCAUUUUUUUUACCCGCCUUUGAUUAGUUUUUCAUGGCUAUAGAUCUAUCAAGUCCUAGUGUGAUUAUAUGGAGUAGUUGGUAACUGACAAUACCUGAACACUUGCUUCAUGCUUUCUUUGUUACACAGGGUUAUAACUAUGCCAUUUGACAUUUCACAUCGCUGUUUAUUUUGGAUCAUUAUGCUACCUAGUGAACUAUUUAUUGUCAGGAGACUCGAAGAGCAUGCUUUCAUUAAUUUUUAAAGUACAUUUUUUAUCCUUUUCCUUUCAGUUUUCUUGGAUGAUUAUUCUAGUGUUGGGCGGUUUGCGUAAAUAUUUUCUCAGCAUGUAUGAUACCUCUCAGUUUAACAUAAUUUGUCUGGUUCAAAUUAUAUGCAUCUAUGCGUUGUGAGCGGUCUAUGUUCUUCACUCUUGGCCACGUCAGAUGUUUAACACUUCAUAUUAAACACAUGAUCAAAAUGGCAUGCCUAGAUUCACCAUAAAUACUAGUUUCGUCAUGAAUAUUCUUUUAGUAUUCGGAGUAUUGAUUUUGAUGCUGUGGAGAUGGCAUCUAUUUUGGGCCGAUGGAAGUGUGUCUAUUAAUAAGAUGAUGCAUGAUCCCUGUGGCUUCUACUGCAUGAUUUCAAUAAAAUUCAAUUUGUCAGCGACUAGCUAGCUCGUGGGCAGGGGUGCGUGGAAGUUAGCUAUCGACGUGCCAGAACCACGAGUUGGUUUUGAGAUCUUGUGGGUUUCAGCUCUAGCCUACCCUAACUUGUUUGGGACUAACUACUAUAAGAGUGGAAGGUGUAGCAGUACAAAUGAAGUGUUAUCAUGUAGCUUUUUUUCUUUUUCCCACGUUGGUUUUGUCCAACAAUGCCGAGAUGAUUCAGUUUUGGAGCUUUCGGCACAACACUGGUGAAAGUUAACUUUUACUGUUGUUUGAGUCAUACCAAAUUGAGAGCUAUGGCUUUAAUGACUUUUCCGCUAAUAAAUUGUAUAUACAAAUUGGUUUGGCUGACGAAAUUCUUUGCUCCGCAGGUACCUAGGAUUCCGGUGGCUGUGAUGCAGAAAUGGGUUGUGCCCUGUGUAAUGGUCAACUUUGUAAUGAAUUCUUCCAUUUUGUGCGCCGUGCUCAACCCUGAAAUUGGUCCUCUGAUGGUCAGCCGUGAAGUCUGACUCGUAGGACUUCAUCGAUUAAUUUGUUGCGAAUUUACUGUUUCCUAUCCAGUUCAUGAAGACACGGUGACUUGCACGGAUUAAUGAUUAGUGUCGGACACUGUCAGUUAAUCUUUGACUCAUUUGCUCCUUCCAAGCAAGGCAAGCACCCGACAGCUGUCUGGUAGCACUUGUGUGCG